GAGUUUGAUUAUGGCUCAGGACGAACGCUGGCGGCGUGCUUAACACAUGCAAGUCGAACGGAAAGGCCCUGCUUUUGUGGGGUGCUCGAGUGGCGAACGGGUGAGUAACACGUGAGUAACCUGCCCUUGACUUUGGGAUAACUUCAGGAAACUGGGGCUAAUACCGGAUAGGAGCUCCUGCUGCAUGGUGGGGGUUGGAAAGUUUCGGCGGUUGGGGAUGGACUCGCGGCUUAUCAGCUUGUUGGUGGGGUAGUGGCUUACCAAGGCUCUGACGGGUAGCCGGCCUGAGAGGGUGACCGGCCACAUUGGGACUGAGAUACGGCCCAGACUCCUACGGGAGGCAGCAGUGGGGAAUAUUGCACAAUGGGCGGAAGCCUGAUGCAGCAACGCCGCGUGCGGGAUGACGGCCUUCGGGUUGUAAACCGCUUUCGCCUGUGACGAAGCGUGAGUGACGGUAAUGGGUAAAGAAGCACCGGCUAACUACGUGCCAGCAGCCGCGGUGAUACGUAGGGUGCGAGCGUUGUCCGGAUUUAUUGGGCGUAAAGGGCUCGUAGGUGGUUGAUCGCGUCGGAAGUGUAAUCUUGGGGCUUAACCCUGAGCGUGCUUUCGAUACGGGUUGACUUGAGGAAGGUAGGGGAGAAUGGAAUUCCUGGUGGAGCGGUGGAAUGCGCAGAUAUCAGGAGGAACGCCAGUGGCGAAGGCGGCUUCCUGGCCCGCGACUGACGCUCAUGUGCGAAAGCCAGGGGAGCGAACCGGAUUAGAUACCCUGGUAGUC
rnacentral:rRNA from 1 species